AAAAAUUUUAUUUUUAACUUUAAAAGUUCAAAAAAAUGAAAAAAUUUGUCUUUUGAAAUCCUAAAUUUUUUAUCAAGAAUAAUUUUUUAUUUUUUGUUCUCCGGAUAAUGCUAUUUUUUCACAAAUAUAGAGUAAAUUAAUUUUAAAAA